UGAACUCAGCACAUUGGGCAUCUAACCGUUCAGGACAUAUUUUUUCUGCAGCAAAAUGACAGAUGAGCUUUCCUGAUCGCAUUUUGAAGUUUUGCAAAAACAAUGCAAAAGUGUAACAGCCAUCUGCUGAGAAUAACGAGCUUUCCCACUGCUCUAUGGGCUAAUACUAACCUGUUACUUGUUCAUUUUCCUCUGAAAUGUUGUUUGUCACAUCCGUCUGUGCCGAGUCUAUAUUCCACCAUGGUAAAGUACCCAAAACAUCAUCAGUUGAUGAUACAGUAAUGCCUCCGUUCAUGAAUGGCUCUGUUCACAAAGAAUUUGGUUCUCAAAAGCUAAAUUUGAUAAAAUUUUGUUGCCAGUCACAGCAUCAGGCAAAAACAAAAUUGCAACCAUCUUCCCCACACAAACUCAAAAGCAGCUAUCUUCCCCAACAUUAUAAAACAAAUUAAGGUGAUGAACCGAGGUACCACUGCACUGUAUAUUAAUAAUCCUACUGGGCCACUGUGGAAAUGGCUGUCCUGUCAAAAUUCCUCCACCUCCUCAUUGGCCAGUUCCUCCUAAUUCCCCGGGGUCUGGCUUAAUUCCACAGAGCUUUCCGGAAGCUUCUCUCAAACAGCUCAUAAACACACUUCCCGUUGUAAAUCCCAGCGCCCAGGCUCCCUCUUUUUCCCAGGGCCUCUCUUCAGUUCAGGCAGGCGCAGUGCCACUGAGCCAAAUCCUGGGCCCAAGGAACAAGCGGUAUCAAGGAUGCAGUGAAUUUCUCUUGCGUACCCAGGGACUGCUGGGUCACAUGCAUGUGAUCAGUAGUUUGGCUUACUAUUGGUCGAUAGCGAUAAAGCCCGCCCUACUACUUCCGUUAUGCUCCUUUAAGUACAAUCUCCACGGGCCACCUGCCUUUUCGGCGACCGCGGUACGGGAUCGACCCAGCCCUGCCGAGGAUGUCGGAUCGCAUCGUCUCGUGUGUUUCAGCGCCUUCUCCCCACCCCAAAGCCCCCCAAUAAAAUGAUUUGGCCCCCA